AUAUUUCUACGUAUACGUACGUGUGUACUUGUGUGUGAGUGUGUGUAGCCAUAGCAACUGACAGGCAUCUGACGAAUGGCUCACUGACUACUUGGCCGACUAACUUGGCCGCUGGGCACAGACAUUUUUUGUGUGAUAUUUACGUGUUUCGUCAAAUUUAGUUAAAUGCGUCUAGUCAGUAGUCACCAGUAGGCGGCAUCUUAAAUUAAAAAACCAAAAUGAAAAAAAAUGUUCAUCAUAUAUCUGGGUUCAUUUUCAUUUCCAACGAAUCUCGUCAGUGAGAAGCUAUAACGCAUUCCAACAAAAAUAUAUAAAUUACAACAAAAUAAAUUCAAAAUGCCUGAGCAGCCAAAAAAGUCGAAUGCGAAGCCAGCACCAGUGAGCAAGACCAGCAAGGAUACCAAAGAUACAAAGCCGAAGCCAGCGCCGCCAGUCGUACGUAAUCCGCAGCAUAACACACACGAUCGGAUAUGGAAGAUCAUGAAAAUGUGACUUAGACAUCAUAGAGCAGCAUACGGCGUAUAUCAUUUUAUGAACAGGAACGAAAUCUCUUGAUAUGUUAAAAUCUAUUUCACACAACUGGAUUUUUAAGAUAUUAAAUAUGAAUUGCCGUUAGAAA